rnacentral:lncRNA from 1 species
CUCAUUAAUACCUUAACUUCGAUUAUUUUUUAGGAAAAACUUUAACCCGUGUGGUUUCGCACUUUCUCAAAUUCUAGUACUCUGUGGUUUAAAGUGUAUCAAUUUAGUGCCCUACAGUUUCAUUUUUCUUUUUUAUUAUCAAUUCCAUUAAUUUUUUUUAUUUAAGUCAGUGGCAAAGUUAAAACUAAAGGUACUAAAGUGAAUAUUUAAUAACUGAAAUUUUUUUGUACAUAAUUUAACGAAAUAUUAACGAAAAAGCCAACGAAAAGAAAAAAAUGAAAUUGCAGGAUACUAAAUUAAUAUACUUUAAAUCACAAAGGUGGUAUUUGAAGUUUACCCUAUUUUUUUUUGUAAAACCAGUUUUUAAUAUUUAAUUUAGG